UGUUAAAAGCUCGUAGUUGGAUCAAGAGUCGGAUAGUGCAAGGUGGCCCUGUUUGUCCGUCUUGGUUCCGACCAUGGCGGCGGCAGCGGGCUAACCCCUUGCGCCAAACUGUCCGCUCUAACAGGCCGAAACGGUUCCCAGUGAGUAGGUCCUACACGGGAUCGAAAGCGCCUACGCAUCAACCAUAUGCAUACGGGACGUCGGCCAAUGUUACUGUGAACAAACCAGCGUGUCCAAAGCAGGCUUUCGCCUGAAUGUUCGAGCAUGGAAUAACAAGGGAUCGAUUCUCUCGGUUCUUUUUGUUGGUUUUUAACCCGAGAAGGAGUAAUUCAGGCCACGGUGUCUGAGUUGGGUUCCCCUGCUCCUUGGAGUAGGCCCCAAUUAGGCCGUGUCCUUACGGGAUCAAUAGGGACUGACGGGGUCGUACGUACUCUCGCGUCAGAGGUGAAAUUCUUAGAUCGCGGGAAGACGAACUUCUGCGAAAGCAUUCGACAAGAAUGUCUUCAUUAAUCAAGAACGAGAGUGUGGGGAUCGAAGAUGAUCAGAUACCGUCGUAGUCCCACUACUGUCAACAAUGCCGUCUC
rnacentral:rRNA from 1 species